GGGGGGUGGUAGUAGAUAAGUGCAUAAAAAUAUUUUUGACACUAAAAGUGUAAAACUUUUGUUUUUAGGGUUUAAAGAGCCUGUAUUUAUUACAAUAAUAAAUGGGGAGAGGGAAUACAUCAGCUAUAGUUCCUGGGACAGCCAACAUCUACAGGUGUAUUCACUGCCCCAGAUAGUAAAAAGAACUGUGGUCACUGGGAGAACAUCUAUAGGUUGAAUUCUUUACACCCAUGCCAUGAAGAGAGGGAACACACCCGCUAUGGUUCCUGGGACAGCUAGCAUCUACAGGUACAUUCACUGCCCCAGAUAGUAAAGAGAGGAAACCCAUCAGCUGUGGACCCUGGGAGAACAUCUACAAGGUGCAUUUGAUACUUCCAGGUAUGCUUCUAGUUUAUUGAAAUGAGUCAUUGAUGUGAGAAGUUUCCUAAAGCUACAAUGUAUGCUAUGAAUUUGCCUGUAAUACUGCUUUGGCUGCAUCCAGAAACAUUGAUAUCUUAAUCCAGCUUUAUGUUCCAACUGCAAUUAUGAUUAUGGCAUUUCUAUAAGUUGCUAGCCCUUGUACUUUCAUUCUUUCUUCUUGAUACCUAUGCUUUUAGGAUAGCGGUACCUUCUUAGCAGAGAAUCAUCUUUGCUUUGUGUACUAUUCUUGACCCUGGUCAGCUGUGUCUGGUAUUAAUGUAGCUAUUCUUUUAAAUUAGUGUUUGUAUGAUAUGUGUUUCAUACCUGUACUCUCAGCCCACCUGUGUUAUAAUGUGUGAAGUGACUUGUUAUAGUAUUUCUAUAGUUCAGUUGUACCUUUUUUGAUUGGUAUAUUUAGACCAUUUUCAUUCAGUGUAAUCACUGUUUUAUGUUUGGUUUUCUAACAUUCUGUCUUCUUGAUUUCUAUUUUGAUUAUAAAUUUUAAUAUAGUGUGCUUUUCAGUCUCUAGUAGUGUCUUGAGCUGAUAUUAUUUAUACAUAUCUUCUUACAACUCACUUCCAGUAACAUUUUACCUCAUCCAGUGUAGUACAGAAUUCUUGCAUUUAGAUCCCCUUAUCCCACUAUUAAAAAAUAUUUCCUCAAGCAUUUCCAUUGGAAACAUUAAGUAUCAUGUCAGGUUGCAUUAGAAGUUUGGUGCAGUCAUAAAAUACAUUUCUCAAAACCCGUGAAGUAGCUUCAGUUGAUGGUCUGUCUACAUCUACCAUUCCAUCAUGUAGGAGGCAAGGGCAAGAGAACCAAGAGUUCAAGGCCAGCACAAGUGACAUAGUGAGACUCCCCAAAGAACAGGAAAUGAAGGAAGUCUUUUAACUGGUGUAGCUGACCCUCUGUCCCUCUCCUCUGAUAACUCCAGCCUUCCAAAGGGGGGAGGGGGAAAUGAAGGUUAGUUAGUUGACUUCUGUAGCUGAUCCUCUGUCCCUUCCUCUGACACUCCAGCCUUCUGUCUUUUUUUUUUUUUUUUUUUUUUUUUCAAAAAGUUCUCUGGCCAUGUUUUAGUAGUAAGUCUGCCCACAACAAAUUCCUUCAUUUACCUUCCACUGAGAUUGCCUUUAUUUAACCUUUACUCCUGCAAUAUCAUCUCACUGCAUCUAAAGAGGGGCUCAUGUCUGAUGGCACCUGAGGCCUGCUGUGUACGCACUUCCCUUUGUCCUGGAUCUGUAGGGAAACUGCCUUUGGAGUUGAGGUGCUUUAGAGUAGUCCACUUUCCCCCUAUAUUUUCAGUAUAUUUUCUUUUAGGAUUUGCAGGAAUUUAUUCAUGAUGUAUCUUGGCAUCCAUUUAUUUGGGCUCAUCCUAGUUGGGGUUUGCCAGCUUUCUUGAAACAAUAGGUAUCUUUCUUCUUCCAUGCUCUACUGGGUGGUAGCAGGUGUUAAGAUAAAAAUAUUUUUUUAGUUGACGAAGUGCUAGUGGGUUACAUUGGUUUCAAGGGAAUGAGGUAUAAAGAAAUGUCUUCCUAAUGAAGGAAUAUCCUGUCUCAUCAUCAAGACAGUGGUUACCUGUGUAGUAAAUUGUGAAAACCCAUUGAGGUGCAUCUUCAGGGUCUGUUCACAGUAUUAGACAUUAGCUUUUAAAAUCUUUCAGCAACUCUGCUGUCACUAUGAGCUACACUUUUUUCUGCUUGUGACACUUUGAAGACUAUUGAGGCAUAUACCAGCAAGAUUUUGCUGAAAGGACCCUGAUAUAGCUGUCUCUUGUGAGGCUAUGCUGGGGCCUGGCAAACACAGAAGUGGAUGCUCACAGUCAGCUAUUGGAUGGAUCACAGGGCCCCCAAUGGAAGAGCUAGAGAAAGUACCCAAGGAGCUAAAGGGGUCGGCAACCCUAUAGGUGGAACAACAAUAUGAACUAACCAGUAACCCCCAGAGCUCAAGUCUCUAGAUGCAUAUGUAUCAGAAGAUGGCCUAGUCGGCCAUCAUUGGGAAGAGAGGCCCCUUGGUCUUGCAAACUUUAUAUGCCUCAGUAUGGGGGGAACGCCAGGGCCAAGAAAUGGGAGGUGGGUAGGGGAGUGGGCAGGGGGAGGGUCUGGGGCACUUUUGGGAUAGCAUUUGAAAUGCAAAUGAAGAAAAUGCCUAAUUUAAAAAAGAAAUUAAAAAAAAAGAAAUUGUAAAAAUAAAUAAAUAAAUAUGAACACUGCUAGGGAAAAAAAAAAAGAGCAUGCCCUUGAAGGAAGGUCAUGCCCUUGAAAGAAGGUUAUGGCACCAUGCUUUCUUCUUCCUCCUCUUAAUUCCAGGUCUGAGGUGAGUACAGCAGGUAUAUGAGAGAUGCAAGCAGGAAGAUGACACCACUCCUGCUUUUAAGAAAUGUGUAACAUGUCUAAUUUUCUGCUUCAAAAGAAAAAAAAAACUGCUCGUGGAUUGGGCAUGGUGACUUGUGCCUACAGCCUUUAUAGUUAAGAGUAUGGUGUGGAGGGACUGCCACAGGUUUGAAGUCAGAUUAGGUUGGAUAGUGAUGUGAUGCCAGCCUAUACUACAUUAGCAAAACUCUAAAAGAAAUGAGAGAGGGAGGGAAAAGGGAGGGGAGGGAGAGAAUCUCAGAACAUUUGUAGAUAUUAGUCAUAUCUGAAAAUGUCAAUUUGUUUCUCAGAAGUAGAAAUAUAUAUCUGGCUACAAUAGAAUAAAAGUCUAUCAUUAGGAAAUAAAGAAAAAGGAAAAAGCUACCUACCCCCACCUCCCACGCCCCCCCCCCCAGCCAAAGAACUCUCUGUAUUAACUUUGGGGUCAAAGAAAAAUUAAACGGAAUAUAUAAAAUGUCUAGAAAAUUCUGUAGAUGAAAAUCCUAUGGUUCAAAUCUGUGAGAUAUUACUGAAAUUUUUCUUGAUGAAAAAUUCAUGGUGAAGAUCACCUCUUAAAAUCCCAGAAAACAGUAAAAUCAGCCUAAACAAUUCAAAAGAAGGUCAAAGCUGACACAAAUUCAUUACAAAGCAUGAGAAAGAAAGCUAAAAUUGGUAAGUACUUUUGAGAGUUAUUGGUUUGUUUGUUUGUUUGGUUGGUUGGUUGGUUGGUUGGUUGGUUGGUUGGUUGGUUGGUUUCGCCAAGGCCAAUGAGACAGAUCACACUGGCUAGUGUAGUUAGAAGGACAGGAAGAGCUAUAGCAGAAUAUUGAAAAGUAGCAAACAACAGAUGUGAAGGAAACUCUAGGAAUUGUGGAGAGUACUUUAUGAACUGUUCAGAAAAUCGCUCUGAUAGUCUGUCUGAAAUGAAUUGUUUUCUAAGAACACACAAAUGACCAGUUUUUCAUACCAGAGAGCCUUUGGUAGACAAAUAAACACAGCCACAGGGCCUGGAAGGAUUAUCUAGAACAUUCCCCCACAGUUUUAUAAGCUAAAGCAGUUUUUCAUAUCUCUUGUCCAUGACUGCAUGCAAUAUGACCAAUGCCCCAACCUCCCAAUGCUGUCAUCCCCUACCAUGGCACAGGGCCACCUUGAACUGCAAGCCAAAACAAGCCCUGUCCCCGUAAGUGGCUUUUUUCAGGAGAAUUUUAACACAGUAACAGAAAAAGAAAGUAAACUACUGCAGUACCAUGUUUAUUUUUGAGAUAUUAUCUCAGGUGUCUAAGGUGGCCUUGAGCUUUCUAUACAGCCAGAUAGCACAAUGGAAAGAAGGUGGAGGUAAUAACAAAUAUUACUGCAACAACCAGUUAACAGUUUGGAAUUGUUCUAUAUCAAUAUUAUGAUUCUUUCACCAGGAUAAAUUCCAGAUGAACUAUUGAGUGUUUUUUAAAAGUCAAAUUGGAAACAAAUUAGAAAACAAAUAUAUAAACUUGAUAUGAGAUUUAUUUUUACAGUCAGGUAAAAUUCUUGUGAUAUAAAGAGAUAAAAACGAUGAACAUGUUUACAUGAAAAACAUUUUAGCUUCAGGCUUGGUAUGGUGGCACGUGCCUGCCAUCUCAGCACUUGUUCUAAGACAGGUGACUCCUGGGUUUAAGGCCAGCCUGAGCCACAGUGAGAUCCUGACUUAAAGAACCGAGUAUGGUAUGGUGGGAUAAGCGUGUAACUCUAACACAUGGAAGAUAAAGCAAGAAGAUAAGAAUAUAAGAUCAAGCCGGGCAGUGGUGGCGCACGCCUUUAAUCCCAGCACUCAGGAGGCGGAGGCAGGCAGAUUUCUGAGUUCGAGGCCAGCCUCCUGGUCUACAAAGUGAGUUCCAGGACAGCCAGGGCUAUACAGCAGAGAAACCCCGUCUCGAAAAAAGAAUAUAAGAUCAUCCUCAGCUACAUAGUACAAGAUCAGGCUGGGCUGUCUUAAAGAAAAGGAGAGAGAGGAGGGAGGGAGGAAGGGAUGGGAGGGGAAGGUAGAGAGAGAGUGAGAUGGGGUAGGGGUGGGGGGAGAUGAGAGAGAGAGAGAGAGAGAGAGAGAGAGAGAGAGAGAGAGAGAGAGAGAGAGAGAGAGAGAGAGAGAGAGAGAGCGCACUUAUGCAGACCUUUAGUCUUAGCACGUGGGAGGCAGAGGAUCUUUCUGAGUUCCAGGGCAGUCUGGUCUACAUAGGAAGUUUCAGGCCAACUAACAACCAACAGUUCAUGGUAAGACCCUGUCUCAAAAUAAUAAUAAUAAUAAUAAUAAUAAUAAUAAUGAUAAACUCAACUUUAAAAUAGUUCUAUAUUUGUAUAGAGAAUAUGUUCAGAUGAUAGAGAGAGCUUGCCUUGACCCCAGCACCACAUAAAUUAGGCAUGAGGGCACAUGCCUAUAAUCCCACACUCAGGGGUCAGAAGUUCAAGGUGCUAUUUGGCUUCAUAGGAAGCUCUAGGCCAGCUUCGACUACAUGAGACCCUAUCUCAGAAAGACAGUGAGGGAGGGAGAGAGAAAAAGAGAAAAAGUUAGUUCUGUAAUGUCUACUUUCUUUUCCUGUUACUAUGUUAAAAUAAUCUUGACAAAAAAAAAAAAAAAACAGCUUAACAGGGAAAGGGGUUUUUGAACAGCUCACAGGUGAAGGUGGCCAUUUGCCAUAGCUGGGAGCUCUCAGCAUCAGGAAGUUGAGGAAGCUGGUCACAUUGCGUGCACAGUUAGGGAGAAGAGAGUGAUGAGCACCUAUGCUCAGUUCCUGCUCUCCUGCUUAUAUUCUACAGUUGAGGAUCCUCGCCUAGACAAUAGUGGUACCCAAAGUGGGCAAGUCUUCCCAUUUGAGUCAGUCUCAUCAAGACAAUUCCCCUAUAGGCAUGUCCAGAACCCCCAAACCUACACUCCCACCCCGGGUGAUUCUUAAUCUCAAGUUAAUUGUUGAUGUUGACCAUAACAAUGAUCAAGGCCAAUGGGAAAAAUUUUAACAUAUUUAUAAAACAUGGCAAAAAUAUGGCUUUAUUUUAUCAAGUGUUCUAAACAAUUCUUUCUUAAAACUCAACCCACCAAAUAAAAACACAAUAUAACUCAGAGUAAAGCAGUCACUUAACCAAAGCUGGUGUUCCAACUUAUUUUCUGCAGGAGUAGAAGUUGAUUUAACUUCUUGAAGGGCAGUUAGGCAAUAUUCAUAAAGUUUUAAUGUGUGUUCUUGACUCAAUAUGUCCACAUUAGGAAUUUCACCCAAGUGAAAGUGGGGAAAAUGUUUACCUCAGCAUUGCUGGAAAAACCAAUCCCCCAGAUUUUCAGGAGGUGUCUGUGAAUAGGACCAAAACAGGCCCAGCCUGAGGCAUUGGGUGGAAUUCUCUACAGCCUUUAAAAGGGCUGAAGUAGAGCAAGUGUGGCGGAAGUUCUCAGACAGCGUCCGCCAAGGAAACAAGAGUCCAUGUCCACUGUGGGGUGGUCCACAUGGACCUGGAAGCCAGUGUCUGUAAUGAUUCACAAGACGCUUGCCACAGCAGUUACCAUGGAGAGUGGCCUCGCUCAGGGAAGCACAGACUCCUUUCCAUUGCUGACUUUCACAUGGAGUCCUGUUGCCACAGGAGUGGUCACUAAAUGAUGAGAUUCAAUGAGACAUAAGAGCCAAAUGCAGAUGACAUUCUAAAGUAAGCUUCAGAGUUCUAAACCUCACACUGCUUGAAUUCCAACCUAACCAUUUCCUCGUUAAAGCAACAUGUUAAGUUGAAUUUAGUCCAGAGCAGAGAUGUGGUGCUCUGUUUAAUGUAUGCUGCCUUUCUUAGCAAGUGUGUAGAUUUGUGUGAACUCUCUGGAAUAGCCAGUGUGGUAUACCAUCCUUUGGCUGUGAGGGCUCAGAAGGGCUAGUUGAUCCCAAGGUUCAGAGGUCAAAGCAGCCUAACGGGAGCCCAUGGUACCUGACUGGGAGAGAUGCUGAGCAACUGUUCUCUUCAUCUCUGAGUUAGUGUCCCUCUCUCAGGACAGCAGCAGCAGCAGUUUCUCCAUCACUGAUUGGCCCCUCUGCCUCUCCUUAUGUGACUGAAAUGUUUGAUGGUAGUCCAAUAGAUUUUAGCAAAACUAUG